AACGCACGAGACCUGCGGACCUGCGGAGGGAUCAUUACAUGAUUUGAGGGGGCUCGCGUCCCCUCGUCCAACCCACAAACCCCGAGGAAACUUUAUGUCGAGUGGUUCGGCGCUCUCUUUGAGAGCCGCCCCUCAAACGCAUCGCAGGCUUUUCGUGAGGGUCUGAUGUGUCACAUCGUGAGUAUAAAAACUUUCAACAACGGAUCUCU
rnacentral:misc_RNA from 1 species